GACGAACGCUGGCGGCGUGCCUAAUACAUGCAAGUAGAACGCACAGUUUAUACCGUAGCUUGCUACACCAUAGGCUGUGAGUUGCGAACGGGUGAGUAACGCGUAGGUAACCUGCCUGGUAGCGGGGGAUAACUAUUGGAAACGAUAGCUAAUACCGCAUAAUAUUGAUUAUUGCAUGAUAAUUGAUUGAAAGAUGCUAUUGCAUCACUACCAGAUGGACCUGCGUUGUAUUAGCUAGUAGGUGAGGUAACGGCUCACCUAGGCGACGAUACAUAGCCGACCUGAGAGGGUGAUCGGCCACACUGGGACUGAGACACGGCCCAGACUCCUACGGGAGGCAGCAGUAGGGAAUCUUCGGCAAUAGACGAAAGUCUGACCGAGCAACGCCGCGUGAGUGAAGAAGGUUUUCGGAUCGUAAAGCUCUGUUGUAAGAGAAGAACGGGUGUGAGAGUGGAAAGUUCACACUGUGACGGUAUCUUACCAGAAAGGGACGGCUAACUACGUG
rnacentral:rRNA from 1 species